rnacentral:rRNA from 1 species
UACAGAGGGUGCGAGCGUUAAUCGGAAUUACUGGGCGUAAAGCGUGCGUAGACGGUAGCGUAAGUCAGAUGUGAAAGCCCCGGGCUCAACCUGGGAAUUGCAUUUGAGACUGCUCUGCUCGGGUGCGGAAGAGGGAAGCGGGAAUUUCCGGUGUAGCGGUGAAAUGCGUAGAUAUCGGAAGGAACACCAGUGGCGAAAAGCGGCUUCCUGGUCCGACACCGACGUUCAGGCACGAAAGCGUGGGGAGCAAACAGGA